rnacentral:rRNA from 1 species
CAGCCGUAAACUAUGCUCGCUAGGUGUCAGGCAUGGCGCGACCGUGUCUGGUGCCGCAGGGAAGCCGUGAAGCGAGCCACCUGGGAAGUACGGCCGCAAGGCUGAAACUUAAAGGAAUUGGCGGGGAGCACCACAACGGGUGGAGCCUGCGGUUUAAUUGGACUCAACGCCGGGAAGCUCGCCGGGGACGGACAGCAAUAUGUAGGCCAGGCUGAAGACCUUGCCUGAAUCGCUGAGAGGAGGUGCAUGGCGUAGACGUCU